rnacentral:rRNA from 1 species
CCACGCGAGUGGAUGCCAAUCCCCAAAACCUACUCUCAGUUCGGACUGGAGUCUGCAACCCGACUCCACGAAGCUGGAUUCGCUAGUAAUCGCGCAUCAGCCACGGCGCGGUGAAUACGUUCCCGGGCCUUGUACACACCGCCCGUCAAGCCAUGGAAGCCGGGAGUGCCUGAAGUGCGUGAGCGCAAGCAGCGCCCUAAGGUAAAACCGGUGACUGGGGCUAAGUCGUAACAAGGUAUC